ACGCUCGACACCUACGUGAGGCAGCAGUUAGGAAUAUUGGGCAAUGGAGGAAACUCUGACCCAGCAACGCCGCGUGAAGGAAGAAGGUUUUCGGAUUGUAAACUUCUGAUCUAGGGGAAGAAGGAAGUGACGGUACCCUAGGAGAAAGCCACGGCUAACUACGUGCCAGCAGCCGCGGUAAUCUGAGCGGGCUGGCAAGGC
rnacentral:rRNA from 1 species